UUAAGCAUAUCAAUAAGCGGAGGAAAAGAAACCAACAGGGAUUACCUCAGUAACGGCGAGUGAAGCGGUAACAGCUCAAAUUUGAAAUCUGGGUCUUUCAGGCUCCGAGUUGUAAUUUGUAGAAGAUGCUUCGGGUGCGGCUCCGGUCUAAGUUCCUUGGAACAGGACGUCAUAGAGGGUGAGAAUCCCGUAUGUGAUCGGUUGCUUGCGCCCAUGUGAAGCUCUUUCGACGAGUCGAGUUGUUUGGGAAUGCAGCUCAAAAUGGGUGGUAAAUUUCAUCUAAAGCUAAAUAUUGGCCAGAGACCGAUAGCGCACAAGUAGAGUGAUCGAAAGAUGAAAAGCACUUUGGAAAGAGAGUUAAACAGUACGUGAAAUUGUUGAAAGGGAAGCGCUUGCAACCAGACUUGCGCGUUGCCGAUCAUCUGGGGUUCUCCCCAGUGCACUCGGCCUCGCUCAGGCCAGCAUCGGUUUCGGUGGUGGGAUAAAGGCCUUGGGAAUGUAGCUUCUUUCGGGGAGUGUUAUAGCCCUCGGUGCAAUGCCGCCUACCGGGACCGAGGACCGCGCUUCGGCUAGGAUGCUGGCGUAAUGGUUGUAAGCGACCCGUCUUGAAACACGGACCAAGGAGUCUAACAUCUAUGCGAGUGUUUGGGUGUCAAACCCAUACGCGUAAUGAAAGUGAACGGAGGUGAGAACCCUUAAGGGUGCAUCAUCGACCGAUCCUGAUGUCUUCGGAUGGAUUUGAGUAAGAGCAUAGCUGUUGGGACCCGAAAGAUGGUGAACUAUGCCUGAAUAGGGUGAAGCCAGAGGAAACUCUGGUGGAGGCUCGCAGCGGUUCUGACGUGCAAAUCGAUCGUCAAAUUUGGGUAUAGGGGCGAAAGACUAAUCGAACCAUCUAGUAGCUGGUUCCUGCC
rnacentral:rRNA from 1 species